rnacentral:lncRNA from 1 species
GGUAUCUGUAUCUACGUCAAGACCUGGGCUUUGCUCCACUUGGAGUCAGCUGAUUGACAGGAGGGCAUCUGAAAUUGAGAGGAGAUUUCAGGACGUUUACCCAGCCCUUUAGUGGGGAUCUGUCCGGGACUGUGCAGUCUGAACCUGCAACUGUAAAAGCAACUCUUGGACCACUGACUCUAAAACGCACAGAAAAAUGCAAUUGAUCCAGAACAGCCCAAGGAAUGUUAAAUAUUUUUUACAGAAACACAAAUGACAUUUAUAGAAGUAUGUAUGUGCUGUGCAUAGUGAUGUUUUUUCCAAAAGGUACAACAUGAGAAGGGGAAUAAUAUUAAUUUUAUAGUGGAGAAAACUGAGCUAAACUGCCUCAUCCGUGUGAUCAAAUAACAUUAACCAUGAUAAAGCAGCUGGGCACAGUGGCUCACACCUGUAAUUCCAGCACUUGGGAGCCUGAGGUGAGAGGAUCGCUUAGGGCCAGGACUUAGAGACCAGCCUGAGCAAUGUCGUGAGACUCUGCCUCUACAAAAGUACAAGUAAAAUUAAAUCACCCAGAUGUGGUGGCACAUGCCUGUAGUCCCAUCUACUCAAGAGGAUGAGGUGGAGGAUCAUUCAAGCCCAGGAGUUCGAGGCUGCAGCGAGCUUUGUUCAUGCCACUGCACUCCGGCCUGAGCAACAGAGUGAGACCCUGUCUCAAAAAAAAAAAAAAAAAAAAAAAAAACUGAUACAGCAUGUUGACACUAUGUACUCUUGUUAUAAUAUCAUGAGAAUAAAAGUUUCCCUCUGUGGGUUUCCUCUGCUAAAUCCACAACAGCCAUCCAAUCAUUAAGAAAACACCAGAGACAUCCCAAAGGAAGGAUUUCAAUGAUAUCAGAAAUAAGGAAAAUCUGAGAAACUGGCACACGAUACCUAAAUGUGAUGUGGUGUCCUGGGUGGAAUCCUGGAACAGAAUAUGGACAUUAGAGUCUUGCUCUGUCACCCAGGCUGGAGUGCAGUGGCACGUUCUGAGCUCACUGCAACCUCUGCCUCCCGCAUUCAAGCUAUUCUCCUGCGUCAGCCUCCUGAGUAGCUAGGAUUACAGACAUACAUCACAAUGCCCAGCUAUUCUUUGUAUUUUUUCUUUUUUAGUAGAGAUGGGGUUUCACCAUGCUGGCGACGCUGGUCUCAAACUCCGGAACUCAGGUGAUCCACCAACCUCGGCCUCCCAAACUGCUGAGAUGUUAUAGGCCUGAGCCACUGGGCCUGGCCUUGCUACUAUUUUUUUUGAAAGGCACCUGUCUGCUAUUGAAUAUAAUUAUAUUAAAUAAGCUCUUAUAUGUAAGAUCAAUUAAGAAUAUGAAAAUUAAAAGUUUUUAUCUUGAGUAACCAAUAAAAAAGUAUAAAAAAGUCUGAGAUGCUAAGAAAGAAGAUUGAAUUAUAUGAAAUGCUGAAUAAAAACCACAAAAAAAGGAAAAUGAAUGGAAGACAAAAAUGGAAACAGGGAAGCGCAAAAACUAGAAGAUUCUAACAAACAUGGUGGAUAUUCAUCCAACUAUAUCAAUCAUCACUUUGAAAAAGUGUCAACACCUAAUUCAGAACAAUCACAAUCAGAAUACCAAGAUACGUGUGAAUUUAUGAAUUAAUUUCAAUAUUGCUUUCAUUUUUAUAUGAAUAAAGUGUAAAUUUAAAAUUCUAGAAGGACUUUUUCAAUAAGGGUAAAUAAGUCUGUUAUGUGUAUAAGAGUUGAGACAGAGAUAUUAUUCUUUUUUUGAGAUCCUUCUUCAGUCUUUGAUUCAUUAACAUACUGUGGAUGUCCCCAACGAGACUACUACAGACAUUACAUAUUUACCAAUCUGAGCUUCCCUUUAGUGAUACAAAGGCCUGCUCGCUUGUCCAUCUUUGUCUGUGAGUUUGGUGAACGUUGUUCCUUACUCAGCUUCACAUUGACAAGUAUAUCCAUAUAGGCGGUGGUACAGUAAUGAUUGCGUAAUUGCAGGAAGAAUGAAACAAAAUGUUGUGGAAAAACUUAUGGCAAUUGGACAUGGCUUAUCACAGGUAAAAAUGGACGAUUUAUCUGGAAGGAUGGAUUGCAAGACAGCGCACAUCAAACAAUGAAGGACAGUGACAUCUGAGAGACGUGAAACAAUGAGGGCUACUGUUGCCUCAGGUUACUGCUUGGGGAGAGUUUCCAGGCUGUGGUGUGGCACGGACUCUGGAAGACCCUCAGAGUUGAGAAGAUGGAACUGACAGUCUGGAGAAAGAGGUGGCUGAAUUUCAUGAAGCCAUUCUCCAUGGCUGCACGAGGAGGGAGCACGCAUGCCAACAGCCAUGCAGGCCGGACUGUGGUGCCAUCAUUACUCCACUGAGACAUGGUUCACAGGAGUACUGGCGCAGUACAGAAACAAAAAGCAAAGAUUGAAAGUAAAGUAAUUUAAAUGAAUUAUUUAAUAAACAGUAAUUCCCCUUUAUGCUUUCAUCUAAUUUCUGACUACAAAAAGACAAAGUUUUCCAUGACUCAGUGAUCUUGCAUCCAACCCAAGAAUGAAGGAAUACACACUGUUUAGAAACAAAGUAAAUGGUGUGUUAGGUAGAUUCAGUCACCCUGUGUGGACACCAACCUGCCUUUCCUAUGUUAUCCUGUUAGUUGUGGCUGGUAAAAU